rnacentral:rRNA from 1 species
GAUGAACGCUAGCGGCAGGCCUAAUACAUGCAAGUCGAACGGGAGCCAGAUCAAAGCUUUCUUUGGUCUGGUGAGAGUGGCGCACGGGUCCGUAACGCGUGCGCAACCUACCCUUGUCAGGGGGAUAGCCCUGCGAAAAUCGCAUUAAUACCGCAUGACAUCAUUGAGAGGCAUCUUUCGAUGAUCAAAGAUUGAUCGGCCAAUGCUGGACUUGCGUGGCAUUAGCUAGUUGGUACGGUAACGGCUCACCAAGGCAACGAUGUGUAGGCGAGCUGAGAUGAGGAGCGGCUACCCUGCAACGGAGACACGGCCCAGACUACUACGGGAGGCAGCAGUGGGGAAUGUAGUACAAGGGGCUGGAGGGAAGUCGGGCAAAGCCGCGUGGGGUACAGAGGGAUGCGGGUAGGAAAUCUAUGUUGCUUGGGAAGAAGAACAAGCGUCGGAACGUGGAACGGUCUGACGGUACCGAAAGAAUAAGCACCGGCUAACUCCGUG